UACGGAGGGUGCAAGCGUUGUUCGGAAUCAUUGGGCGUAAAGGGCGCGUAGGCGGGACGUUAAGUCCGAUGUGAAAUCCCUCGGCUCAACUGAGGACGUGCAUCGGAUACUGGCGACCUUGAGUCCUGGAGAGGUAGCGGAAUUCCCAGUGUAGAGGUGAAAUUCGUAGAUAUUGGGAGGAACACCGGUGGCGAAGGCGGCUACCUGGACAGUGACUGACGCUGAGGCGCGAAAGCAUGGUAGCAACAGG
rnacentral:rRNA from 1 species